GAUGAAGAACGUAGCGAAAUGCGAUAAGUAAUGUGAAUUGCAGAAUUCAGUGAAUCAUCGAAUCUUUGAACGCACAUUGCGCCCGCCAGUAUUCUGGCGGGCAUGCCUGUUCGAGCGUCAUUUCAACCAUCAAGCCCCAGGCUUGUGUUGGGGACCUGCGGCUGCCGCAGGCCCUGAAAACCAGUGGCGGGCUGGCUGUCACACCGGGCGUAGUAGAUUUUAUCUCGCUCAGGGCGUGCUGCGGGUUCCGGCCGUUAAAAAGCCUUUUUUACCCAAGGUUGACCUCGGAUCAGGUAGGAAUACCCGCUGAACUUAAGCAUAUCAAUAAGCGGAGGA
rnacentral:misc_RNA from 1 species